UUAAGAUCUCGAGUAAAAACCCAACAGCUGCAUGUUCUGCAGCUGCUACUGCCUGCACGGAGCUACUCACACAAGAAGCUAAAAAUGAUGUGACUGGUACAUCUCUCGAUGCUCCAUUCAAUAGUGAAGGAGCAUUCCAAUUGUGCAGCGGAGAUAAAAUAAUUGCAAUAUUCAGCAAAAAUGGAGGAGCAACUGCUCAGACAGAAACUACUAUAUCAGAUACUGCUAAACUAGAUCAAACCAUUCUGACUGUCACUAAAAUCUGAUCUUAGAUCCUAGAUCUUAGAUCCAACAUCCUAGAUCUGAGAUCCUAAACCUUAGAUCAUAGAUGUUUGGUUGAAAAUAUCCCAAAAUUCUUUUAUUGUUUAAUCUGUGAUUUGUAAACUUGAAUCUCGAUGUCUUGCUAAAGUUAAAGAUGGCAGCUAAAACAGGAAAGGACGAACAUUUUUAAAUUAAAUGUCGUUUUCAACGCUAAAAGAGCAACCUCCUGGUUAUGAAACAAUUCAUUAUUCAUUAUUUUCUAAAAUCGUUAUUUUGAGAGGUAUCUUCUGUUUAUUAAAUGAUGAUAGUCUGACAAAGUGAAAAAAAUACUUCCAAUAUUUUUUAAAGAAUCAGUAUUAAAAAUUAGGGUUAACAAAUUUAUCAUUAAAUUGUGUACCUUAAUUAGUUACAACCCAUUCAGAGUUUAAUAUUUAAGAUAUCAUGUUUUUUUUAACGUUUUGCAUAAAUUUAAUAUCUUAAUUUAAUGGUAUUAAUUUAUUCUAACUGCCAUAUUUGUUUUUACCCGGUGUUGGUGCUUUGUAAUAUAUUUGCUUUUUAAUAUUUGUAUUUUUUUAAUUUGGAGGUGUGUACAUUGCAGAACUGAAGAACAACAAGUUAGAUAUCCCCCCUCCUCUCUUUUAACAUGGGUUAUAUAUCUCCCCUCCUCUCUUUUAACAUGGGUUAGAUAUCUCCCCUCCUCUCUUUUAACAUGGGUUAGAUAUCUCCCCUCCUCUCUUUUAACAUAGGGUUUGGGAAAAGGAAAUAUAAUUUAUAUUGAUCUCUGUACACACCCAAUUGUUUAUUUACUCUUUUAUUUCGAAAUUAUAUUGAUAACUUAAAAUUGAAUAAAAAUAUCAAUUUAAUAAACUUAACAUUUUUUGUACAACUGCAACUUGGAAACACAACGUUACCCUAAAAAGCUUUGUUUGAUAGAGAUGCAUGAGCUGUCCAGGUUUCUAUUUUUUAAUUAUGAAUUUUUUUCCACUGUGGUUUCUCUUUAAAAUUAUUUUGCAGAUGUCAACGUACAGAAACAAUAGAGUUUAUUGUCAACGAAUUUUGUGCAACUUCCUGAAUGUAAUAAAUAAACAAUUUAUAAACAAAUAAAUAAACAGCUGAAAAAU